CCUACGGGUGGCUGCAGUGGGGAAUAUUGGACAAUGGGGGGAACCCUGAUCCAGCCAUGCCGCGUGUGUGAAGAAGGCCCUCGGGUUGUAAAGCACUUUCAGUGAGGAAGAACGCCUGGUGGUUAAUACCCAUCAGGAAAGACAUCACUCACAGAAGAAGCACCGGCUAACUCCGUGCCAGCAGCCGCGGUAAUACGGAGGGUGCGAGCGUUAAUCGGAAUUACUGGGCGUAAAGCGCGCGUAGGUGGCUUGAUAAGCCGGUUGUGAAAGCCCCGGGCUCAACCUGGGAACGGCAUCCGGAACUGUCAAGCUAGAGUGCAGGAGAGGAAGGUAGAAUUCCCGGUGUAGCGGUGAACUGCGUAGAGAUCGGGAGGAAUACCAGUGGCGAAGGCGGCCUUCUGGACUGACACUGACACUGAGGUGCGAAAGCGUGGGUAGCAAACAGGAUUAGAUACCCCUGUAGUC
rnacentral:rRNA from 1 species